UCAGGACGAACGCUGGCGGCGUGCCUAAUACAUGCAAGUCGAACGGUCUUUCUAUGGAAGCUUGCUUCCACUGAGAAGAUAGUGGCGAACGGGUGAGUAACACGUGGGUAACCUGCCCAUAAGAGGGGGGAUAACAUCCGGAAACGGGUGCUAAUACCGCAUAGUUUUCUUGAUCGCAUGAUCGGGAAAGGAAAGACGGCCUUUGUGCUGUCGCUUAUGGAUGGACCCGCGGCGUAUUAGUUAGUUGGUGAGGUAACGGCUCACCAAGACGAUGAUACGUAGCCGACCUGAGAGGGUGAUCGGCCACAUUGGGACUGAGACACGGCCCAAACUCCUACGGGAGGCAGCAGUAGGGAAUCUUCCGCAAUGGACGAAAGUCUGACGGAGCAACGCCGCGUGAGUGAAGAAAAGGUUUUCGGAUCGUAAAACUCUGUUGUCAGAGAAGAACAAGUUGGAGAGUAACUGCUCCAGCCUUGACGGUAUCUGACCAGAAAGCCACGGCUAACUACGUGCCAGCCGCCGC
rnacentral:rRNA from 1 species